GCCUAUUUCCGAUUUUUGAAUAAUGUUUGGACAAGACUCUAUGUUUAUAUACAGGUAAAAUUUCAUUGAGCACUCAACUCCAAAGCUUCAAUGCUUCUAGUUUUCUUGCCAAUAAGCUUUGUGGACUUCCACUUACAAAGAAUUGCAAUGUUGAUGGCGAAACACCUAAUGUGGGAAAGGAAAGAGAUAAUGAAGGUGCUGGAUCUGAAGUGGAUUGGUUUUAUUUGUCUAUGGCUUUUGGAUUUGCGGUAGGUUUUUGGGGCAUCUCUAUUCCUAUAUUGUUCAUUAAGUUAUGGAGAUAUGCCUGUUUUUGAUUUCUGGAUAAUGCCUGGACAAUACUUUAUGUUUAUAUACAGAUAAAUGUGAUGAGAUUUUAAAAGUCAUGUGGAAGUCUCCUACUUGUGUCUCCUUAAUACUAUAAAUAAAUGUAUCUUUCGUGUGAUAAAUUCUGUUAUGUUUAAAUUUCUCAUGA